GCAGUCGACGAUGAAGCCCAGCUUGCUGGGUGGAUUAGUGGCGAACGGGUGAGUAACACGUGAGUAACCUGCCCCUGACUCUGGGAUAAGCCCGGGAAACUGGGUCUAAUACCGGAUAUGACUUUUGACCGCAUGGUUGAGGGUGGAAAGAUUUAUCGGUUGGGGAUGGACUCGCGGCCUAUCAGCUUGUUGGUGAGGUAAUGGCUCACCAAGGCGACGACGGGUAGCCGGCCUGAGAGGGUGACCGGCCACACUGGGACUGAGACACGGCCCAGACUCCUACGGGAGGCAGCAGUGGGGAAUAUUGCACAAUGGGCGCAAGCCUGAUGCAGCGACGCCGCGUGAGGGAUGACGGCCUUCGGGUUGUAAACCUCUUUCAGUAGGGAAGAAGCGAGAGUGACGGUACCUGCAGAAGAAGCGCCGGCUAACUACGUGCCAGCAGCCGCGGUAAUACGUAGGGCGCAAGCGUUAUCCGGAUUUAUUGGGCGUAAAGAGCUCGUAGGCGGUUUGUCGCGUCUAUCGUGAAAGUCCGAGGCUCAACCUCGGAUCUGC
rnacentral:rRNA from 2 species